GACUGUGGCAGGAACGCCGUCCCCUCAGAUUAUGGAUAUUUACAUGCCUGGCAUUCUUCUUUGCCAGGGCUACAGCAUAGACAGGUGGCAGUGCUGUGUGACAAUGACAACCACCAGUUAGACUGAGACAGCAAGACGUCUUGGACAGGCACAGUCUCCAUGUUAAAAGAUACAAUCCUCCACUUGGUGAGAUUUGAGUGAAGAAUCAGGCCCAUCAUUUGUCAAAGGCUUUGGGAUCCUUUUGGAAUUAAAGGCAUGAUAGAAAGGGCUAGAGAACAAACAGGCCCCAUCAACUAUUCAAAGGAAACAACGUUGCAAUGAAGUGCAAAGAAACAGCUGCAUGAAGCUUUUUCAAGGAUCACUAAUGAAGUCAACAUGUGCUACAGAUCAAACAGGGAAACUAAUACCAGAUGAGAACUGAAGUAAUCAGAAUAGACACAGACGUAACAGCAACCAUUUUGUACCAUAAGAAGCAAAAAAAACCCCAAGCAUUAAGUGCCUGAGAAUUCAUGUUCUGAUGACUGUUGCCCUUCUCCCUCCCUCUCUGCACCAGUCUUACCUGAAGAGAGCAGGGUGCAGGUAGCUAGGACAAGUAUGGUGGCUGUGGCUGCCU